AUUGAACGCUGGCGGCAGGCCUAACACAUGCAAGUCGAACGAGUGGCGGACGGGUGAGUAAUGUCUGGGAAACUGCCUGAUGGAGGGGGAUAACUACUGGAAACGGUAGCUAAUACCGCAUACCAUCGGAUGUGCCCAGAUGGGAUUAGCUAGUAGGUGGGGUAAAGGCUGACCUAGGCGACGAUCGCUAGCUGGUCUGAGAGGAUGACCAGCAACACUGGAACUGAGACACUGUCCAGAGUCCUACGGUAGGCAGCAGUGGGGAAUAUUGGACAAGGGGCGAAAGCCGGAUGCAGACAUGCCGCGUGUAUGAAGAAGGCCGUCGGUUUGUAAAGUACUUUCAGCGGGGAGGCGUUACCCGCAGAAGAAGCACCGGCUAACUCCGUGCCAGCAGCCGCGGUAAUAC
rnacentral:rRNA from 1 species